CUUUAUUGGGAUUUUCUAUCGAUCGAUAAGCAUGGGUGGGGUGGACCCGUGUAGAAUUGCUCUCAAUGGCUAGUGAGAAACACAAGAGAGAUAGGUAUAUUGGCAACCAACUCAGAAGUAGGUAUUUUUCGUCCAGCCGAAGUUUCAUAUGGGAGUUUAGAUCCGGUCGAUACAAAUAGGUGUGUGUUCCCUCUCCCACCGGGAGGAGUGCUGGUAGUGUGGAUCCAGCAAUGGCAUGAAUAACGUCCUUUUUCAACCAACCCCUUUACACAUAAGAGCACCUGAUUCGUGUAUAUCAGGUGGUGAAAGCCGUAUUUGUAGCAUCAUAUAAUAUGUGGAAUAUGGUUUAUAUGAGUCG
rnacentral:lncRNA from 1 species